GAUGAACGCUAGCUACAGGCUUAACACAUGCAAGUCGAGGGACCGGCGCACGGGUGAGUAACACGUAUCCAACCUGCCCUUUACUCGGGGAUAGCCUUUCGAAAGAAAGAUUAAUACCCGAUAUAAAGGAUGGGGAUGCGUUCCAUUAGGUUGUUGGUGAGGUAACGGCACACCAAGCCUUCGAUGGAUAGGGGUUAUGAGAGGAAGAGCCCCAACAGUGGAACUGUGACACGGUCCAAAGUCAUACGGGAUGCAGCAGUGAGGGAUAUUGGUCAAUGGGCGCUAGCCUGAACCAGCCAAGUAGCGUGAAGGAUGAAGGCUUAUGGGUCGUAAACUUCUUUUAUAUAAGAAUAUGUAUUAUAUGAAUAAGGAUCGGCUAACUCCGUGCCAGCAGCCGCGGUAAUUC
rnacentral:rRNA from 1 species